rnacentral:rRNA from 1 species
UACGUAGGGUGCAAGCGUUGUCCGGAAUUAUUGGGCGUAAAGAGCUCGUAGGCGGUUUGUCGCGUCUGCUGUGAAAACCCGAGGCUCAACCUCGGGCCUGCAGUGGGUACGGGCGGACUAGAGUGCGGUAGGGGAGAUUGGAAUUCCUGGUGUAGCGGUGGAAUGCGCAGAUAUCAGGAGGAACACCGAUGGCGAAGGCAGAUCUCUGGGCCGUAACUGACGCUGAGGAGCGAAAGCAUGGGGAGCGAACAGG